UACGAAGGGGGCUAGCGUUGUUCGGAUUUACUGGGCGUAAAGCGCACGUAGGCGGAUCGUUAAGUCAGGGGUGAAAUCCUGGGGCUCAACCCCAGAACUGCCUUUGAUACUGGCGAUCUCGAGUCCGGAAGAGGUGAGUGGAACUCCUAGUGUAGAGGUGGAAUUCGUAGAUAUUCGGAGGAACACCAGUGGCGAAGGCGGCUCACUGGCUCGACACUGACGCUGAGGUGCGAAAGCGUGGGGAGCAAACAGG
rnacentral:rRNA from 1 species